ACUUUCAGGGGAUGAGGACACAGCACUGAACAAGACUCCACACCUUUCCUAGUGGAGAUUAUCUCGUGGAGCCAGACAACAAAGGAAGUAAAAUACGUCACAUGUCAGAUGGUGAUCUUACUCAGAACUUCCUGGCUUCAGCAAGACUGGCCUGUGACGUGAGUGAAGAGAAAUGGAUGAGACGCUCCCUGAUAGAAACAAGGCUCUCUGGACACGGUCUCUCCAGUUGGACUGAGCCACACGGGGUUUUGAGUAUGCUUUUUAUCUCACCAUGAAAGAUGUUUGAGAAAUGCUGAGCAAGGCUGGCCAUUGCAUUUGCAGCAUAUCAGGGGCUGGUUACGACAGACGCUGGGUAGGAGAAAGAUAUGCGGACCUGGACACCAACAGUGAUCCUCUCUAGCCUGCAGAUAGGGAAUAGAACACUAUUUUACUACUCGAAGUAUGUCCAUGGACCAGGAGCUGGAAGAAGUGUAGACUCUCAGACCCCACCCUGGAUCUGCUGAAGCAGCUUUUGCCCUUUUGACACAAUUCCCAGGUCUUUCCUUCCCUUUGGCUGUUGAAACGUAUGACUCCUGGGGGCUGGUGGGAAAAAGAGUUGAAGGUGGGACUGUCCUCUCAUUAGCUGUCCAGGAGGAUGAAUAAAAAAAUAGAAGUUCCUGGCUUUUCCAUUGAGUCAGCAAGAAUGCUUUUGAUUUUUCGUUUAGGUUGACUGAUAACGGGCCUAGAGAGGGAGAAGAUCCAGAAUGCUUGGAGAAGGAUUAGCCCUACAGAUUCAACUUCGGAAUUCCCAGGAUAUACACAGAGCUCACUGGAACAUCUGACUAGUGCGGAGGUGAAAAUUAAGGGCAUCACGCUGAUGUCAGGCGACGGGAGGCAGGUGAAGGACAGCCGGACGGGAAGGGCUGCAGAGACUUGGGCGAGCGAGCCUCCCUCAGCAGGUCAGCGACAGACCUGCUCGCCAAAGGUCUGUUUGGAACCACAAGCCCAAUUAAUUUCCUGCUUCUCAUCCCUGGCAGACCUGGCCACCGCCCAAAACGCGAGCCCUCUGGACAGACACGCUUCCUUGCUUGUCCUCAUUCCCAUGCUGUUUUGUGCAUUUUUCGCCCCUGAUCCAUCCUCCCACUGCGGUGCCUUCUGCCAGCCCUGCCAGCCUGCCCUCUGCCAGCCCCGUCCAGCGGUACACGCCCCGCCCCCUCUCACACUUGUUUGUCACGGAAUGUUCCCUCCCGCUUCCUCACCUUAACUGAAGCCCAGCUCUGGCCCAAGGACAGGGGUUUCCCAGAGAGCAGGUUCUUUCUCCCCCAAAGACCAAAGAGUUGCUGGGGAGACCCCCCCCCCGCCGCCCGCUUUGCUUUGAGGCUCUUGCAGCCUGGCUUCCCCCCCUCCUCCUGAACUGCUCAGGUGCCUAUCAAACUCUUGAAAUGUUCUAUAAGUGUAAGGGUUUCUCAGUCUGGGUAAAAAAGAAUACACAAUGUUUCAAUAUUUUCACAUGGAUUACAUAUUGCAAUGGGAUAGCACUUGGGGUAUAUUGGGUACAACGAAUUAUCAGCAUUAAUUUCACCACUUUUUGUUUCUUCAGUGUGGCUACUGGAAAAUUCUAAAGGCCACAGAUGUCUCCUAUUUGUUGUAUCUCCUACUUCUCUAUUCCUAUUGACUAGCACUGCUCUGUGACCAUCAAGACCUGUGUGGAUCUCAGACUCUGGGCUCUAAAUCUUCUUUCAGCUCCGAUACGGGCUCAGGCUGCUUUUUAAUUAAAAAUACUUAAACUGCUUUUUUUUACAUAUUACAAAGUAAAACAUUUCCAUUAUAAAAUAUUAGAAAAUGCACAUUAUAAAACAUGAACAAAAAAGAACAGAAGCCCAUACAUAUGUAUAAAAGGACAUACUACUUUUUGGUAAUUUUUUUACACUUUCCAGAUGUGUUAUAAACAUCUCCCCGUGUCCUUACAUAUUCUUCUAUGAGAAUUUUAAAAAAAUGGUUGCCUAGUAUUUUCUUGUAAGGGUAUACCAUAAAUUAUUUUGCCAGUGUUUGUUGAUUGAGCAGUAUUUUUGAACUUUUCUAUUGUAAAUGUAGCAGAAUGACUGCUAAGAGGGAACUUAAAGUGGUUUGGGGGAGAGUCACCCUUUUUUCUAGCUUCAAAGGAGCAAGUCAGUCACAGAGGAGCCCACCCGCUUAUUUCUCAUCACGCAGUUGUCACAUAAUUUUUAGACAUAGAGUAUUCUGGGACAACCCAGAAGCGAGUGCUAUAAACCAAAGGAAACUGUUUCAGACUCAGGGUAAGUACUUCUAAAUUGGAUAACUACUGUCUCCUUUGGAGAUGGACUUUCAGGGGGUGAGAGUCUGGGUCUUUUCGUAGUGAGGUCAGCCCCUCUGCGCCCCCCGUGGAUCACUGCUGGGAGCCCAGCCCCCCUCCAUGGGCUUGAAGUCCUGGUGGCUGAGGAGGGAGACAGGUCUCAGCUCAGGGAGCCGGAUGAGGGAGAGAGCAGAUGUCCAGCCGACAGAUGUCCUGCAGGGAUUGUGGAGCAUGUGGACUGUCCUUAGAGAACCCCAGGGACACUUAGGGGCCACUCCAAAGCAGGCACUGUGGUCCUGCUGCUACCCAGAGAGAGACAGUCACCACUGACUCUCUGGACUAAAAAUGGCUGAGAUUUCAGCAGUGCUCGUCUGCUCGCAUCAGAGGCUGAAGUCAAGUCACUCGGGGAAACUCUCAAAGCUAAAGCUAUUCCUAAGCCGAAAGGGUGUCAAUGAUUUAACUAUACACGUAUCCAUGAAGACACAUAAUGUAACCACAAUUAAAUCAGAAUUUCCAGAGUCCGUACUUUCCAAUUCCAGGACUGUGUAAGAAGGGGUGUGCCUGGUUGUCUUCAGUGGAGACUUUCUAGGGUUCACAGUGUUUACUGCUGAAGUUCCAAGGCAGGUGAAUGCAGGAGUCAGACUGCCUGGGUUUGAAUCCAGAUCCACUGCUGGUGACUGUGGACAUGUUCCUUAAUCUCUCUUAACUUCUUCCUGUGUUCAUCGUUGCCUUGUCGCGUUUGUACUCGUGGGGCCCCCACCUGGAACGCUCUCCAUCUCCACGUGGCUGACUCCACAUCAUCCGUGUCUCAGCUCAAUGGCCCCUCUUCAAGCAGCCUCCUCUGAAGACCCAAUCUCUUCAGCUCGCCUGGCAUUUCGAAUUGCAUCCUCUUGUUUUAUUUUCUCUGCAGUUCAUUUAUUUGAUUUCACAUCAUGGUCUGUCUCUCUGUGCCGGGGUGUAAUCUCCUGAGGGCCGGCAGCUUUCGUGUCUUGUUCAACACCAACCCUCCAUGUCCAGAACUGAACCUGACACACGCUAGGGACUCAAGAAGUAUUGGUAGGAUCAGUGAAAGAAAGAUGGAGCGAAUGGUCUUGAUAAUGACCAUAUUCAAAGAAAGAUCAAGUCCCACCCAGAGUUAAAAAGUGCCUUGAUGGAAGAAAGCACUUUGGUUUGAGCAACGAACAAUGGAAUUCGGAAUCAACAGGCUCUGAGGGCCUGCCCAUCUCUGAGCCGACUUUCUUUAUCCUGAAAGAUCCUAGUUUGAAGGGCAUUUUCCCCGGAUGUAUGGAGUCCUAAAAAACUCAAAGGGGGUGACAGUUCGAGGAACAUAAAAGAACAAUGAUGAGCUUAGACGAGCAAGGCAAGGGCAGACUGUGGCGAAAACAAUUACUGAUGCGCCCUGUACAGCACAUGGAGGAAAAGGUUGCUACUGCUUCCUCUGCCUGUGUCUGAAGCCAUGUACCUUGUGAGUCACUUGUGAAACGCUGCUCUCUCUCAGGAGCUUCCAGUCCUCUGCCUCCUGAUGCAGUCAGGCCUUUCCCUCUGAAAUUCAAUUAAAUCAGCCCUAAUGAGUGGCUAGGCAGAAAGGGAGCUCUUGUUUACAGAACACAAGGAAUAAUAACGAGCCAACAUCAAUUAGGACUGUGACUGCAAAUCCGAAACAUUGAUUCUGCACCUCAACAGUGAGCAAAUUUCUGCUUUCAGACACCAAGUCUCGCAGGCUUGAGAAAGACAGAGCCUCGUGGGCUGUCUCUACGGCCGUGAUGUUCCAGAGAAAUCCCACUAAAAUUUUCCUUUGUCCUCCUGGCCUGUGGCAGUUCUGCCCAUCCCCCUUGACUGUUUUUCUGGCUGUUGCUCCUAUUGAGUUUUCUGAAUAAACACAGGCCACCAAGUUUUAACCGCAAUGAUAAAA
rnacentral:lncRNA from 1 species